UACGAAGGGGGCUAGCGUUGCUCGGAAUCACUGGGCGUAAAGCGCACGUAGGCGGAUUGUUAAGUCAGGGGUGAAAUCCUGGAGCUCAACUCCAGAACUGCCUUUGAUACUGAGGGUCUUGAGUUCGGGAGAGGUGAGUGGAACUGCGAGUGUAGAGGUGAAAUUCGUAGAUAUUCGCAAGAACACCAGUGGCGAAGGCGGCUCACUGGCCCGAUACUGACGCUGAGGUGCGAAAGCGUGGGGAGCAAACAGGG
rnacentral:rRNA from 1 species